GCCAGUUAGCUCAGUGGGUUGAGCGCAGUGCUGAUAACACUGAGAUCACGGGUUUGAUUGCUGUUUGGUA
rnacentral:tRNA from 1 species